rnacentral:rRNA from 1 species
GGCAGGCCUAACACAUGCAAGUCGAGCGGGGUUUUCGGACCUAGCGGCGGACGGGUGAGUAAUGUAUAGGGAGCUGCCCGAUAGAGGGGGAUACCAGUUGGAAACGACUGUUAAUACCGCAUAAUGUCUACGGACCAAAGUGUGGGACCUUCGGGCCACAUGCUAUCGGAUGCACCUAUAUGGGAUUAGCUAGUUGGUGGGGUAAUGGCUCACCAAGGCGACGAUCCCUAGCUGGUUUGAGAGGAUGAUCAGCCACACUGGAACUGAGACACGGUCCAGACUCCUACGGGAGGCAGCAGUGGGGAAUAUUGGACAAUGGGCGCAAGCCUGAUCCAGCCAUGCCGCGUGUGUGAAGAAGGCCUUCGGGUUGUAAAGCACUUUCAGCGAGGAGGAAGGGGUUGUUGUUAAUAGCAACAAUCUUUGACGUUACUCGCAGAAGAAGCACCGG